CAGUCGCCACGGUAAUACGGAGGGGGCUAGCGUUGUUCGGAAUUACUGGGCGUAAAGCGCACGUAGGCGGAUAUUUAAGUCAGGGGUGAAAUCCCGCAGCUCAACUGCGGAACUGCCUUUGAUACUGGGUAUCUUGAGUAUGGAAGAGGUUAGUGGAAUUGCGAGUGUAGAGGUGAAAUUCGUAGAUAUUCGCAGGAACACCAGUGGCGAAGGCGGCUAACUGGUCCAUAACUGACGCUGAGGUGCGAAAGCGUGGGGAGCAAACAGGAUUAGAUACCCGAGUAGUCCCUGUCUCUUAUAA
rnacentral:rRNA from 1 species